rnacentral:rRNA from 1 species
UACGAACUGUGCAAACGUUAUUCGGAAUCACUGGGCUUACAGGGUGCGUAGGCGGCUUGCUAAGUAGGGUGUGAAAGCCCCCGGCUCAACCGGGGAAUGGCGCCUUAAACUGGCGAGCUGGAGUGAGAUAGGGGUGUGCGGAACUUCCGGUGGAGCGGUGAAAUGUGUUGAUAUCGGAAGGAACGCCGGUGGCGAAAGCGGCACACUGGAUCUCAACUGACGCUGAGGCACGAAAGCCAGGGGAGCGAACGGG